GGGCCCGUAGUUCAGUUGGUUAGAACUCGCCGCUCAUAACGGUGCUGUCGCAGGUUCGAGUCCUGCCGGGCCCACCA
rnacentral:tRNA from 1 species